rnacentral:misc_RNA from 1 species
AAGUCGUAACAAGGUUUCCGUAGGUGAACCUGCGGAAGGAUCAUUACCAGGUCCCCGGCCCCCUCGCGGGGUCGACCUUCCCACCCGUGUCUAUCUUCUCUGUUGCUUUGGCGGGCCAGCUGCUCCGGCGCUGGCCUCACCCCCGCUCUGCGGGAGGGCCCGCGCCCGCCAAAGACCUAUCCAAACCCAACUGUUUUGUGACGUAUUUCUGAGUCCCUCGCACGCUCCGUCGUGCGUCCAAUAUCGUGAAAACCUUCAACAAUGGAUCUCUUGGUUCUG